CUCUAUGACCAUACCACCCUGAACAAGCCCGAUCUCAUGUGGUCUCAGAAGCUAACCAGGGUCAGGCCUGGUUAGUACUUGGAUGGGAGACCUAAUAAGUAUUCCCAAGUAGUGAGC
rnacentral:rRNA from 1 species